CCAAUAGCGUAUAUUAAAGUUGUUGCAGUUAAAAAGCUCGUAGUUGAAUUUCGGGGUUAGUAAGUUGGUCAUGCCUUUGGUAUGCACUGGCUUUACUGAUUCCUCCUUCUUGACGAACCGUGAUGUCAUUAAUUUGGUGUUGCGGGAAAUCAGGACUGUUACUUUGAGAAAAUUAGAGUGUUUAAAGCAGGCUAACGCUUGAAUACAUUAGCAUGGAAUAAUGAAAUAGGACGUUAAUCCUAUUUUGUUGGUUUCUAGGAUCGACGUAAUGAUUAAUAGGGAUAGGUGGGGGCAUUAGUAUUCAAUUGUCAGAGGUGAAAUUCUUGGAUUUAUUGAAGACUAACUACUGCGAAAGCAUUUGCCAAGGAUGUUUUCAUUAAUCAAGAACGAAAGUUAGGGGAUCGAAGACGAUCAGAUACCGUCGUAGUCUUAACCAUAAACUAUGCCGACUAGGGAUCGGAUGAUGUUAAUUCUUUAAUGACUCAUUCGGCGCCUUACG
rnacentral:rRNA from 1 species